rnacentral:rRNA from 1 species
CAGGGAAGGCGGGGCUACCCGCUGAUUUUAAGCAUAUCAAUAAGC